rnacentral:hammerhead_ribozyme from 1 species
CUUUCCCUGAAGAGACGAAGUGAUCAAGAGAUUGAAGACGAGUGAACUAAUUUUUUUUUAAUAAAAGUUCACCACGACUCCUCCUUCUCUCACAAGUCGAAACUCAGAGUCGGAAAG